rnacentral:misc_RNA from 1 species
GAAAUGCGAUAAGUAUUGUGAAUUGCAGAAUUCCGUGAAUCAUCGAAUCUUUGAACGCACAUUGCGCCCCCUGGUAUUCCGGGGGGCAUGCCUGUUCGAGCGUCAUAUACACCCUCAAGCCUAGCUUGGUAUUGGGCGGUUGUGCCUGCCAUUUGCGCAGACACACGCCUUAAAGACAGUGGCAGCCUGGGUUUGCCCGCCUUUGCACAGCACAGUUGUAGCCGAGGGGGGAGGGCUCAGGCGCUCCAGAAGCUUUUUACUCUUGUUUGACCUCGGAUCAGGUAGGAAUACCCGCUGAACUUAA